GAGUGGCGGACGGGUGAGUAACACGUGGGUAACCUGCCCUAAAGUGGGGGAUAACAUUUGGAAACAGAUGCUAAUACCGCAUAAAACCUAACACCGCAUGGUGUAGGGUUGAAAGAUGGUUUCGGCUAUCACUUUAGGAUGGACCCGCGGUGCAUUAGUUAGUUGGUGAGGUAAAGGCUCACCAAGACCGUGAUGCAUAGCCGACCUGAGAGGGUAAUCGGCCACACUGGGACUGAGACACGGCCCAGACUCCUACGGGAGGCAGCAGUAGGGAAUCUUCCACAAUGGACGAAAGUCUGAUGGAGCAACGCCGCGUGAGUGAAGAAGGUUUUCGGAUCGUAAAACUCUGUUGUUGGAGAAGAAUGUAUCUGAUAGUAACUGAUCAGGUAGUGACGGUAUCCAACCAGAAAGCCACGGCUAACUACGUGCCAGCAGCCGCGGUAAUACGUAGGUGGCAAGCGUUGUCCGGAUUUAUUGGGCGUAAAGCGAGCGCAGGCGGUUUCUUAAGUCUGAUGUGAAAGCCUUCGGCUCAACCGAAGAAGUGCAUCGGAAACUGGGAAACUUGAGUGCAGAAGAGGACAGUGGAACUCCAUGUGUAGCGGUGAAAUGCGUAGAUAUAUGGAAGAACACCAGUGGCGAAGGCGGCUGUCUGGUCUGUAACUGACGCUGAGGCUCGAAAGCAUGGGUAGCAAACAGGAUUAGAUACCCUGGUAGUCCAUGCCGUAAACGAUGAGUGCUAAGGUGUUGGAGGGUUUCCGCCCUUCAGUGCCGCAGCUAACGCAUUAAGCACUCCGCCUGGGGAGUACGACCGCAAGGUUGAAACUCAAAGGAAUUGACGGGGGCCCGCACAAGCGGUGGAGCAUGUGGUUUAAUUCGAAGCAACGCGAAGAACCUUACCAGGUCUUGACAUCCUUUGACCACUCUAGAGAUAGAGCUUUCCCUUCGGGGACAAAGUGACAGGUGGUGCAUGGUUGUCGUCAGCUCGUGUCGUGAGAUGUUGGGUUAAGUCCCGCAACGAGCGCAACCCUUAUUACUAGUUGCCAGCAUUUAGUUGGGCACUCUAGUGAGACUGCCGGUGACAAACCGGAGGAAGGUGGGGACGACGUCAAAUCAUCAUGCCCCUUAUGACCUGGGCUACACACGUGCUACAAUGGAUGGUACAACGAGUUGCGAGACCGCGAGGUUUAGCUAAUCUCUUAAAACCAUUCUCAGUUCGGAUUGUAGGCUGCAACUCGCCUACAUGAAGCCGGAAUCGCUAGUAAUCGCGGAUCAGCAUGCCGCGGUGAAUACGUUCCCGGGCCUUGUACACACCGCCCGUCACACCAUGAGAGUUUGUAACACCCAAAGCCGGUGAGGUAACCCUUCGGGGAGCCAGCCGU
rnacentral:rRNA from 1 species